rnacentral:rRNA from 1 species
CAUAUUAGCUAGUUGGCGGGGUAAAGGCCCACCAAGGCGACAAUCUGUAACUGGUCCGAGAGGAUGAUCAUUCACAGCGGAACUGAGACACGGUCCGGACUCCUACGGGAGGCAGCAGUGGGGAAUAUUGGACAAUGGGGGCAACCCUGAUCCAGCCAUGCCUCGUGUGUGAAGAAGGCCUUUUGGUUGUAAAGCACUUUAAGCUGGGAGGAGAGGCUAAUGGUUAAUACCCAUUAAAUUAUACGUUACCUGCACAAUAAGCACCGGUUAACUCUGAGAAAGCAGCCGCGGUAAUACAGAGGUUGCGAGUGUUAAUCGGAAUUACUGGGCGUAAAGCGAGUGUAGGUGGCUCAUUAAGUCACAUGUGAAAUCCCCGGGCUUAACCUGGGAACUGCAUGUGAUACUGGUGGUGCUAGAAUAUGUGAGAGGGAAGUAGAAUUCCAGGUGUA